rnacentral:rRNA from 1 species
AGGGAAUAUUGGUCAAUGGACGCAAGUCUGAACCAGCCACGCCGCGUGGAGGAAGAAGGUUCUCUGGAUCGUAAACUCCUUUUAUAUGGGAAUAAAGACGGGCUAUACGCCUGAGCUGAAUGUACCAUAGGAAUAAGCCACGGCUAACUACGUGCCAGCAGCCGCGGUAAUACGUAGGUGGCAAGCGUUGUCCGGAUUUAUUGGGUUUAAAGGGUGCGUAGGCGGUUUGAUCAGUCAGUCGUUAAAGGCAGCAGCUUAACUGUUGUAAGGCGAUUGAUACUGUCGAACUUGAAUUCGUUUGAGGUACUUGGAAUGCGUAGUGUAGCGGUGAAAUGCAUAGAUAUUACGCGGAACGCCAAUUGCGGAGGCAGAGUACUAGGACGAGAUUGACGCUGAGGCACGAAAGUGUGGGUAGCAAAC